rnacentral:rRNA from 1 species
CAGUCGCCACGGUAAUACGAAGGGGGCUAGCGUUGUUCGGAAUUACUGGGCGUAAAGCGCGUGUAGGCGGGUCCUUAAGUCAGGGGUGAAAUGCCAAGGCUCAACCUUGGAACUGCCUUUGAUACUGGGGAUCUUGAGUCCGGGAGAGGUGAGUGGAACUGCGAGUGUAGAGGUGAAAUUCGUAGAUAUUCGCAAGAACACCAGUGGCGAAGGCGGCUCACUGGCCCGGAACUGACGCUGAGACGCGAAAGCGUGGGGAGCAAACAGGAUUAGAUACCCCCGUAGUCCCUGUCUCUUAUAC